GUCUCUACAAUUAAGUACAUAUACUAAAAUUGGAAUGAUACAGAGAAGAUUAGCAUGGCCUCUGCACGUUGCAGCUGUUUCUAAGGGUUAGCUUUUAUUU
rnacentral:snRNA from 1 species